AUUGAACGCUGGCGGCAGGCCUAACACAUGCAAGUCGAACGGUAACAGGAAGCAGCUUGCUGCUUCGCUGACGAGUGACGGACGGGUGAGUAAUGUCUGGGAAGCUGCCUGAUGGAGGGGGAUAACUACUGGAAACGGUAGCUAAUACCGCAUAAUGUCGCAAGACCAAAGAGGGGGACCUUCGGGCCUCUUGCCAUCGGAUGUGCCCAGAUGGGAUUAGCUUGUUGGUGGGGUAACGGCUCACCAAGGCGACGAUCCCUAGCUGGUCUGAGAGGAUGACCAGCCACACUGGAACUGAGACACGGUCCAGACUCCUACGGGAGGCAGCAGUGGGGAAUAUUGCACAAUGGGCGCAAGCCUGAUGCAGCCAUGCCGCGUGUAUGAAGAAGGCCUUCGGGUUGUAAAGUACUUUCAGCGGGGAGGAAGGGAGUAAAGUUAAUACCUUUGCUCAUUGACGUUACCCGCAGAAGAAGCACCGGCUAACUCCGUGCCAGCAGCCGCGGUAAUACGGAGGGUGCAAGCGUUAGUCGGAAUUACUGGGCGUAAAGCGCACGCAGGCGGUUUGUUAAGUCAGAUGUGAAAUCCCCGGGCCCAACCUGGGAACUGCAUCUGAUACUGGCAAGCUUGAGUCUCGUAGAGGGGGGUAGAAUUCCAGGUGUAGCGGUGAAAUGCGUAGAGAUCUGGAGGAAUACCGGUGGCGAAGGCGGCCCCCUGGACGAAGACUGACGCUCAGGUGCGAAAGCGUGGGGAGCAAACAGGAUUAGAUACCCUGGUAGUCCACGCCGUAAACGAUGUCGACUUGGAGGUUGUGCCCUUGAGGCGUGGCUUCCGGAGCUAACGCGUUAAGUCGACCGCCUGGGGAGUACGGCCGCAAGGUUAAAACUCAAAUGAAUUGACGGGGGCCCGCACAAGCGGUGGAGCAUGUGGUUUAAUUCGAUGCAACGCGAAGAACCUUACCUGGUCUUGACAUCCACGGAAGUUUUCAGAGAUGAGAAUGUGCCUUCGGGAACCGUGAGACAGGUGCUGCAUGGCUGUCGUCAGCUCGUGUUGUGAAAUGUUGGGUUAAGUCCCGCAACGAGCGCAACCCUUAUCCUUUGUUGCCAGCGGUCCGGCCGGGAACUCAAAGGAGACUGCCAGUGAUAAACUGGAGGAAGGUGGGGAUGACGUCAAGUCAUCAUGGCCCUUACGACCAGGGCUACACACGUGCUACAAUGGCGCAUACAAAGAGAAGCGACCUCGCGAGAGCAAGCGGACCUCAUAAAGUGCGUCGUAGUCCGGAUUGGAGUCUGCAACUCGACUCCAUGAAGUCGGAAUCGCUAGUAAUCGUGGAUCAGAAUGCCACGGUGAAUACGUUCCCGGGCCU
rnacentral:rRNA from 1 species